GACGAACGCUGGCGGCGUGCUUAACACAUGCAAGUCGAACGAUGAAGGAGAGAGCUUGCUCUUUUUGGAUUAGUGGCGAACGGGUGAGUAACACGUGAGUAAUCUGCCCCGGACUCUGGGAUAAGCGUUGGAAACGACGUCUAAUACCGGAUAUGAAGCGUGGAGGCAUCUUCUGCGUUUGGAAAGAUUUUUUGGUUUGGGAUGAGCUCGCGGCCUAUCAGCUUGUUGGUGAGGUAAUGGCUUACCAAGGCGACGACGGGUAGCCGGCCUGAGAGGGUGACCGGCCACACUGGGACUGAGACACGGCCCAGACUCCUACGGGAGGCAGCAGUGGGGAAUAUUGCACAAUGGGCGCAAGCCUGAUGCAGCAACGCCGCGUGAGGGAUGACGGCCUUCGGGUUGUAAACCUCUUUUAGUAGGGAAGAAGCGUAAGUGACGGUACCUGCAGAAAAAGCACCGGCUAACUACGUGCCAGCCGCCGCCGUAACAC
rnacentral:rRNA from 1 species